AGAGUUUGAUCCUGGCUCAGAUUGAACGCUGGCGGCAUGCCUUACACAUGCAAGUCGAACGGCAGCACGGGAGCAAUCCUGGUGGCGAGUGGCGAACGGGUGAGUAAUACAUCGGAACGUGCCCAAUAGUGGGGGAUAGCCCGGCGAAAGCCGGAUUAAUACCGCAUACGACCUACGGGUGAAAGCGGGGGAUCGCAAGACCUCGCGCUAUCGGAGCGGCCGAUGUCAGAUUAGCUAGUUGGUGGGGUAAAGGCCUACCAAGGCGACGAUCUGUAGCUGGUCUGAGAGGACGACCAGCCACACUGGGACUGAGACACGGCCCAGACUCCUACGGGAGGCAGCAGUGGGGAAUUUUGGACAAUGGGCGCAAGCCUGAUCCAGCCAUGCCGCGUGUGGGAAGAAGGCCUUCGGGUUGUAAACCGCUUUUGUCAGGGNAAGAAACGCUCUGGGCUAAUACCUCGGAGUAAUGACGGUACCUGAAGAAUAAGCACCGGCUAACUACGUGCCAGCAGCCGCGGUAAUACGUAGGGUGCAAGCGUUAAUCGGAAUUACUGGGCGUAAAGCGUGCGCAGGCGGCUUUGCAAGACAGAUGUGAAAUCCCCGGGCUUAACCUGGGAACUGCAUUUGUGACUGCAUGGCUGGAGUGCGGCAGAGGGGGAUGGAAUUCCGCGUGUAGCAGUGAAAUGCGUAGAUAUGCGGAGGAACACCGAUGGCGAAG
rnacentral:rRNA from 1 species